AUUGAACGCUGGCGGCAGGCCUAACACAUGCCAGUCGAGCGGAUGAAGGGAGCUUGCUCCUGGAUUCAGCGGCGGACGGGUGAGUAAUGCCUAGGAAUCUGCCUGGUAGUGGGGGAUAACGUCCGGAAACGGGCGCUAAUACCGCAUACGUCCUGAGGGAGAAAGUGGGGGAUCUUCGGACCUCACGCUAUCAGAUGAGCCUAGGUCGGAUUAGCUAGUUGGUGGGGUAAAGGCCUACCAAGGCGACGAUCCGUAACUGGUCUGAGAGGAUGAUCAGUCACACUGGAACUGAGAAAGGGUACAGACUCCUACGGGAGGCAGCAGUGGGGAAUAUUGGACAAUGGGCGAAAGCCUGAUCCAGCCAUGCCGCGUGUGUGAAGAAGGUCUUAGGAUUGUAAAGCAAUUUAAGUUGGGAGGAAGGGCAGUAAGUUAAUACCUGGCUGUUUUGACGGUACCAACAGAAUAAGCACCGGCUAACUUCGUG
rnacentral:rRNA from 1 species